GUUAUAUAUUAUCUCGUUGGUGUUUUCUUUCUUGCCUUCUUGCUUUUUCUCUAUGAAUUCACUAUUCUCUCUAAAGAACUCGUUUUCUAUUUUUGCUUCUAAUCUCUCCACUGUUUAUAUAUAUAUUUUUUUUUUUAAUGAACCCCUUCAUCCUUUGUUUCAUUUAUUAUCAUUUUUUUUAAACUUUCAGCUCCCUCUUUCCUCCUUUUUAUUCCUCUAUAAAUAGUGUGAGAUUAAGUAGCUGUUCAUUCUUCAAGAUUAAGUAAAAUACAACUUGUAAGACAUUGAGACAAACUUCAUUUUUGCUUUUUUUGCAGGUGAUGACAUAGCAGGAGAGAUACCAUUGCUACUGCUCUGCUCAUAAUGGUCGCAAAAUUAGGCAUUAUUUGUAUAAUUAUAAUAAAUAGGGAAGUUAUAGGAGAAGCAAGAGUAGACAAUAAUUUAGGAUUGGAUGCUCAUUGACAAAGACAAAGUUUCGGAUUCUUGGAAACUGCAUCAAUUUAAAAAGUGGCAUAUGAUAUGUCAUAUGUUUGGACUAGCCACACCUAGAAACUGUGUCCCAAUACAUAUUAACGUGAAAUUUCUUAAGCUACAAAAUGAAGCUUUUGUAUUGCCACUGUGUUUCACCGCAAUUUUGUAAAUAUUAUUUAAAUGGGAAUCCAAACCAAUGUAUUUAUAUCUAAA